CCAGGCUGGUCUUGAACUCCUGUGCUCAAGCGAUCCGCCCGCCUCAGGCUCCCAAAGUGCUAAGAUUACAGACCUGAACCACCGCGCUCAGCUUAAAUGUAUCUCUUUGAAAUAUCAACAUAGAUUCUCUUCCGUUCCCUCAGUCUGUAUCUCUUUCAACAGGAGAAAAUUUGUAAUUUUUUUUACUGUGGAAAAUUUCAAACAUACACUAAAGAAGAGAACUGUGAAUGUGUCACUCUGCUUCAAAAACAAUCAAUUCUCACCAAUUUGGAUUAUUUUGCAGCAAGAUUUUUAAAAAAGUUUAGGAAAAUUAACGGCAGAGCUUUUCGUUUAUUUGGCAGAUGGGAAUGAUUUAGCUGAAAGAAAAACUGAUGAUAAUACUAAAAGUAUUUUUUAUAUUAUGCUUCUACUUAGGCAUAAUUUCGUGACAAAUGUUUGAAGUGCUGGUCAUGUUACCAAUACAUUUUUAGGUUUACAUUUGAAUUUUUCUAAUUUCUUUAUUUAUUCCUUUUUCUUGGAUCCCAUGCAUUCCUCUUUUGGAUCUCUGUUUUGGAUUUUUUUUCCUAGAAGAUAUCUUCUAAUAAUUCUUAGAAGCAAGAACAGAAAAGUUCUUGUUUGAUAAACUUUCAGUGAAUAAUAUUUUCCCUAUUAGUAGAAUUUUAGUUUAAAAUAAUUGUUUUUUCCUGGUAAAAAUGCUAAUUAGAACAACAUCAUUUUCUCUCUUAACUUCGAAGUCAUUACUUUUUGUCUUCUUGCAUCUGGGGUUACUUCUUCCAUUGUAGGUAAACUGUUUUUCUUAUUAGUUUUGGGGUGCCCAGUAAUUAAUUUAUAAGCAAAGUUGUUUGUAAUGUAUUAAACCAACAGAGAGAAAUUCAUAGUGCUGAUGUGCCUGAUUUUAAAUAUUUACUUGAAGACAUGCAAGCAUGAAUUAAGCAAUAAUUCAGAACUAAGGGAUUCAUGAUCUACAGAUUUCUCCCCUCACUCAGUUCUGAGCCCCCUAAAUGAGGCCUCCACAUGGGUUAUUUGUUGUCUGAGGGAUUCUACUCCUGUGGGAAGAGCUUUGGUCCCAUGGGGUCUCAAGCGAACAUUUUUCUUCUAUCUUUAUUCCUUUUCCACUUGUGAGGAAUGUAUGUUUCAAGCUCUGUCCUUCGCUCCCAAAAUUCAGAAGUGUCUUUUCUUGUUUAAUAAUUGCUUAAAGCAAUAAUUGUGCCAUUCUGUUCUAAUGCUUCUAACAUUGGCUAAAUAUUUUGCAAAGGGAGCAAGGGGGUAUGGCUGGGGAGAGGGAGGAGGGGGAAAGAGAGAGAGAGAGAAAAUCCCAUGCCAUUAGCUCCUUCCACUAGGGUUUCCCUCUUUCCAUUUAUUGCUUCAGAAGCGCUUCAUUAUUUUCCUUCUGUUCCCUUCUGUUUUGAAAUAAUGCCCCUUCUGUGUCACUUUUCUUGAAGAAUUUGUCCUCUUUCCAAUUGGCUGAAGCUAAAAACUGAAAAUAAUGGAAGGGCUAAAGUUAUAUUUUCAGUUUCUGGUAUUAAGGGUGUGAAUAAGUAAGAAAGAAAAUACAAUCUAGAUUUGUUUUUAAUGAGAUGGGUGCAGUUUUUACUUCUUCCCUAGUAGAAUAUCAGAGGGAGACAGAACUGAGAGCCACGAAAUGAGGCCUCAAGCCCGGAAUAACAAUAAUUGUGUUAUGUUGUCUACUCCGGACUCACUGCCUCCCAUUCCAGGAUCCAUACUGCUAUUUUCAUAACACUCUAAAUGAUUUCACAUCUGUAAGUAAUUAGUUGCAAAAUAAUCUGUCUUGGGACUGUGGGUGAGAGAAGGGUUGGGCAAUAGAAGUUCCAACUGUGGUCUAACAAUGUGUAAAUCAUGUAUUCCUUCAUUCUGCUUUGUCUGCUUAUCAACUGUAAAUACAUUACACUGGUAAAGGCUAGUCCUGCAAAACAUAGCCCUUUGAGAAGCUCAGUAUUGAUGUGAUCCGCCAUAAUGGCACCACCAGCUUCACAGUUUACAAAGCCCCGCCCCUGAUAUUAUCAGAAUUCUUUUUCACAGCAACCCUGAGAGAUAGGCGAGGGUAAGGUUUCCAUCUAAUGUGUGAGGAACCUGUGGCGAAGUCAGUAGAUGACAUGAUAUGUUUUGUUGUUUUCUUGCAAACAUUUUAACAGUUCAUUAACUAUAGUAAUGCGCAUACGGAGGAGUGCAGGAAAUUAUAACGACAGAGAUUGAUGAAUUGUCACAAAGAGAACACUCUCAUGGAAUCAGUACCCAGGUCAAGAAACAGAACAAUGUAACACUUUCGUGCCCCCUUCCAGUCACCACCCCCAGGGGUGACCACCAUGCUGACUUCUAAAUAGGUGACAGGAUUAUUCAAGUUAAUUUUGUAUGGCAUGUGGACCAGGACCUUGCAACACAUGGAUGUGUUAUAGAGGGUCUGCUUGAUGCAUUUAGGAAUACAUCUUUACAUGAAAAGCAAGGCACAUGAGGAAUCAAUAAGGGAUGAAAAUUGCCCAACGUGAAGAAAGCUCAUCUGAGGAGACUAAAUAACAGGCUCCAGUGGAUGAAGGCUGAAUGUGUGUGUGGAAUAUUAUAGGAAAUGUUAUCUAUUGCUAUCAAGAACUGAUGAAAAGUUUACAUAGAAAAAGGAAAAUAUGUUUCUUUCAUGUUUAGAAAUUUGUGGACGAGGAGAAAUCCAUUUCUUUCUGUGGACAUUUUAAAAUUUAGGCUGUAAGUGCUCAUUGAAAGAUAACUUUGGUUUAAUCUUAACCAGAGGCAAGGAUUUGUGAUUUUUCAAGAGUGUUUCCUUUCCCACCCUGUGCCUGGCUGAGCAUUUCUGUCCAUUUCCAUGGGAAGACUGCAUUGUGUUCCUUUAAGGGAAAUGAUGUUUCGCUGGAAAAGGGAGGCUGUGUCUAUUUUACUUCUUUCCCUAGGACAUGAGUGAGUCGCCAGACAUGAAGGCUUUGCCUGUGAAUGUGCUGCCUCUCUCUGGGAUGGGCAGAGCUGAAGACCAACAGUAAUUGCUCCAGCUGGUAUCUGCAUCUGGUGGAUUUUGGAAGCUUACUCUCCCAUGUCCUCAGCACUAUUCUGCUAUUCCUGGGUAUGGCAUCUCCAUACCAAUCUGAAAACAUAAGAGAGCUCGAAGAAAAGCAUAGACUCAGAUGCAAUAAUCACUUGGGGUAAAUAUUCUAAACAUUUUUUUUGAACCAGCCAUUGUUUAAUCACCAUGAAAUAUGGUCACUUAUCUCCAAAGGGAAAUAUUUAGAAUACAAACCUCUCUUGCUGUCACCUGGCAUACAAGGAAAUGCAGUGAUGUUUCCAUUCAAGAAGUGCCUAGAUCAAGCCUUUCCUGAACAACAGGAAAUGGAAUCUUGACACCCUGUUACACCUUAGACCAUCACACUCUCUUGCAACUCUGAAGAGGAAAAGGAAGAUUUAAACUUUAAGACAUUUAUUUAUAGCAUUUGAAUUAUAAAUGUGAGUUAUUUAAAAAGACAUUUUUAAAAAUGUACAGAAAAGAAAAGUAACUAAGUAAAAUAACAAAAUCUCCUUAACCUCAUGACUCUUGCCUUAAACAAACAAUAAAUACAGUUUUAAUGGAAGCCUGGCUCAAUUGAAUUGUAUGUUUACAGUUCUCUGAGUGAACAGCCUUGGGUAGCCACCAUCCAGAGCAGUGGAGACAUCACCAGUCCCAGAAGUCCCUGAUGUCCCUUCCAGUCACGACUCUGUCCCCUCGCCUAGGUAAUCAAUCACUAGCCUGCCUCCUCUUCUAACAUCUUUAAAUACUUUUGACUUUUUUUUUCAAUUUUUUUUUAAUUUUGAAAAUUUCAAAUUAGGUUAACUGAAAUAACAGUACAAUGAACACUCAUAUUUUCCUUACCCAGAUUCACUGAUUGCUAACAUUUUGCCGUAUUUUCUUAUUUCUCUGAACCAUUCUAAAGUUGUAAACAUCAUGUUUUCCCCCAAAUGCUUUAUCAGUUAUCACCUUAAAACAAAGACGUUCUCCUGUAUAACCCCAAUACCAUUAUCACCCUCAUAAAAUUAAUCAUUGAUGAAGCAAUGCAGUUAUAAUGGUCAGAUUUCCCCAAUCAUUUCAAAAAUUGUAUAGUUUUUUAAAAACUACAUAUGAUAUAAUGAGUCAUCUCCUAUAAUUUAAUUGCUUGACUUCAUUUAGUCUCCUUUAAUCUGGAAUAGUCUUUCUGCUCUCUCUUUGUUUUUUAAUAAUGGCAUUUUUCAUGUCCAGGCUGUUUGUGUAAAAUAGCCUUCAAUUUGAAUUUGUCUGGCUGUUUCUGAAUGACUCAAUUCAGAUUAAAUAUUUUGGCCAAAAUACCCCUAGUGAUGCCAUGGGUUACAUUUCCUGAGGCAGGGUGUUUUUUUUCUCCCAUACCUCCAAGUUUACUUGUUAUUUAAUUAAGACUGGGGUGUUCACAUUUUCUCAUGCUUCAUUAUUGUUUGGGGAGGAAGAAUAUUCAUCAGCUAAAAGGUUUUUUAUGAUCUGCUUUCAUCUUCUAGUCACUUUGUAUGGAUAUGUUGCUAUUUACCCUUCAUUUUGAGAUGUUUUCUUUCCUGGAGCGGCCAGCAAUGACUGUCACAUGUAGACAGAGGUGAGGAGGUGAGGACCGGGUGAUACAUGAGGUUUCUGAAUUCAAGAGAUUCUUCUGUUUGUUUGUGAAGUGCAAUUUCCUUAAAAAUUGCCCUCCUUUUGGGGAGUGGCAGUUUGCCUUCUGGUUUUGUAAUUCUCUUGUUUUUCCAGUACUUUAAUUUCCAGUUCUUUCUUGUUUUUCUUCAACAUCAAAUCUCUGAAGGCCGCCCUUUCCAGUUAAUCCUUUUCCUACGGAACCCCUGGCUUCCCAAGAUACCUACCUCUGUUCCUGCAGACUUUCAAUCUCCUUCCUUGUGAUUCUCAGUAGCCAGUGCCCUAAUCCGCCACGUCUCACAACUGUGUUCAAUGUUUUCCCAUUUGGGAUGAGACAUUGUUUCCCUGGGGGGUGUUUUCCAUACCUACUCCUCUGCUUUCCUUUCUUCUUUUCUGCACUUUUUCUUCUGAAUUUGGUCAUUUAUUUACCUGUUUGGGCAUAAUUUGAAGUUUGGAGUAUUCUCUGUUCCGUAGUUAUGCUACAGGCAUGGGUUCUUGGUGGUUUUACUUGUUCAUUUUGUUGAUCUAUGUGGUUUUCGGGAAUAUUUAUGAAGAGAUUCAGAAUAUAGACUAUUUGUUUCCUUUUGAGUUUUAUUUCCUUUCCACCUUUUUUUCUGUUAUAAUUUUACAUAAUUGUCAUCAUGUGUCUAUUCAAUUUCUUUCUUUUUAACUUAAUAUCAUUUUAAUUUUCCCAAUUUCCUGUAGAUGCUAUCAUUAUUUGUCAAUGGGCCCAUAAUCUUUUUCCAAGUGGAGAUACCAUGCUAUAUUUUAUUACUUUUCUAUUGUUGGAUAUUUACAUUGGAAAAGGAUGAUUACAAGUGUGUUUGGCAUGAAGAGAUUUAGCUCAGGCCAUUUUGAGGGAUGAGCACUUGGCCCAGGAUAAGCAUAUAAUAAAUCUUUGUGGAAUCAAUGAUUCAAAAGAAAAAUAAAACUGAAUAACAUUGCCCAAAUGUGAAGAAAACUGAAGCAUCUUUUAAAAUGUCCAGUUAAAACAUAUAAAUCCCAUAUCCUAAAGGAAUUUCAUUAACUGUUUAGGACUUCACUUGGGGCCCACCAGAAAUAAAUGCUCUGGGAUUGUCAGAUUGAAUAAAGUUGAUAACUAAGGUGUUUGCUGGAGUCAGAAUGCAACAACUGUGUCUUAGAGUGAAGGUCAUGAAAAAGAACUUCAAUCUGAGGGUAACUUUUAUUCAGGGUGACUCUUGGGGAUAAGUAACCGCGUGACCUUGUCAGUUUGUUCUCCGUCCAUCGCAUGGGUGGUGAUGAUUGAACCAGAGAAAUGAAUGGGGCUUGUAGCGCUGGAUGUAUAUGGUCAGUCUCCAUAAAUCAUUUCUUCCAUUGUCUGAAUACAUUUGGGCAUCCACAGUAGUUUAUUUCCAAAGUAUAUAAAGAAGCAGAGGCCAAGGGUGUAAUCUUGGAGCUAUUUAAAUAGAGUGGUUCCAGUCAAGACAUGCAGCUGUUCCCAAUUAUUAGUCCAUAUAUUCUAGGUGCCAGGGAAAACCCACAAGUGUGUCACUCAAUUGAAUUUUAAAGUGACCUCCUGUUCAGAUGAAAAUCUCCUAGCUGUGUUUUUUUCCCUAAAGACUGGUCUCCUAUUGAACGAGUUAGCAACACUCUUGUUGUGAAUGAAUCAUUGCUACUGCCUAUAGAGGAAAUCUGGAUUGUUCCAUAGGGUUUUCAAGGAAUGUGAACUUACCUUCCAGGGAACCCUUUGUAAAUGCUGCUAGCCAAAAUCCUGAACACAAGGACAAGUUGGAAAUCUUCAAAAGGGCAAACUCUGAUGAGGGGGCGUGGUUUUAAUAUUUUAAAGGCAUGUGAGUUGUGUCAAAACAUGAUUCCAAGGAGUGCCCUGAUUCCUGGCACACUGUUUGAGAGUCCCUGUAGGCACACAGGACUUGUGGCUCAUUCUACUUAGGGAAGCAGAUAUUUCUCUCUCUGAAGCUUAUCACAGAUGACAAGAGUAGCGUGCUGCCAGAGCAGUCCCUGAAAAGUAAGAUCCCUUGGAGACGCAAAGGCCGUCUUCUAACACAAAACCUUACCAUGGGACGCCCAAGUGUCCCUUCCACCUGAUUUCAUCAACUGCCCAGCCAAAGAGCAAAAGCUCUGCAGUCACAUUGUCUGGGAUUACACCUUGGCUUUAUCACUUAUGUAGUGUGACCCUCAGGCAAGCUAGUUAGACUUUUUUUUUUUUAAAUCCCCAUUGUUCUAUCUGUAAAAUGGAGAUAAUAAACUACUAACUUAAUAGGGUUGUUGUGAAAAUUUAAUGAGGUUAUCCAUUUAAAGGGCUUAUCAAAUGUUCACGGCCAGUUUCCUCCUCCUUCUCCUUUCCAUCAUCACUGACCAUUGUCAUCCCUCACAAGGGAAAUAUGCAUGAAAUUAAAACCCUGCUUUUCUUUAUCUGAUUCCCUUUAUUGAAGUUAAUCCAUUUGCUGAACAGGGACUAUUUAAAUUAUUCAAGGCAAACUGUUUUCCUUUUUCUCCUUCCACAUGUGUAGAGAUUACAGGGAGAUGCCUGGGCCACUGUUUCACAAUCCACAAAGCUAAGGGUAUCGUUUUUUAGGCCAAUGGAAACAUCUCCUGGGGUCACUGGCCAAGCCAGAAUGUCACCCGCACAGUUUUCGAAACUGACUUUAGGUCAGUGAAAAAUUCCUCAUUGUAUGUACUUUCCUUAGGCAAUUUCAAGAAUUAAAGCUUGAGAAAAACACAUUUGGUGAAUAUCAAUGUAAAACAUGAAAGUGAUGUAUAUAAUUCUACAUGCCUCAGAGAGAUAUAGCAAUAGAAUAUUUAUUUCACAAAUAUGAACAAGGCCCAUUUAAUUAGUUGUCAGAGCUAGUGAGUUUAUGUCUUAAAGCACAUACGAAAGCUCUUUGAACAGCAGCACAGAGAGUUUAUUUAGUUGUUCUGUUUUACUGCGGUGAGGUGCCAAGCUGACUCCAGAGAAAUCUUGCCAUGUGGUGCCUAGGAGUCUAAGUCCUAAAUUGAAUGCCUCGGCUGCUCUCCGUCCUUCCCCUGUCAAGAGUAAGAAAGCAACCUCAAGAGAAGUGAGCCUUUUAUUUCACACAAGUGAAUUUCUGAUAGUUGAUGUUUAUGAUUGUUUUUACAUUACAGUUUUUAUGACUUAUUUUACUUAUUUUCUGUAAGUUUCCUCGAUUAUAUGUCCCUGAGUUCAGUUUUCCCCCUUUAUUCCCUCAGAGCUAACUGCAUUUGAUAUGCUAUCUUUUAUUAUGCAGAAGCCCUUUGAUCUCUACAGAGGAAAGGCGCCAUAUAAAUGCAGAAAUCCAUUAUAAUCAUACAGAAGAGUGGCUUUAUGGGUGAAGUCCAGCUUAGCAAAGCUGUUGGAUGGAAGAGUGUACUAGACUGUGGAAUGCUAAUGCCAAAGUGUCUACUCAGAUGGUGGCUGGUUUCAGGAGUUUAUUUUUCAAGUAUGCUUUCUUAUUGAAGUAAACAUACAUACAAAAAAGUGCACACAUCGUAAGUAUUCAGCCUGAUGAAUUUCAGCAUACUGAAUACACCCGUGUAACCAGCACCCACAGCCAGAAAAAGAACAUUGCAGUAUCCCUCAUGCCCCUUCUCAUUCCCUACACCCCCUAAGGUCACCACUGUUCUGACUUCUAUCACCAUAGAUUAUUUUCACUUGAUUUUGAACUUCAUAAAGCUCAAAUCACACAGAAUAUACUCUUUAGGACCUGGCUUUUUGUUCUCAGCACAGUGUGAGUGAUGUUCAUCUGUGCCGCAAUUCUUCAGGUCUUUUUGUUAUGUGAGAUUUUAUUGUACAAGUAUACUAUUUAACCAUUCUCCUACUGAAAGAUAUUUUAGUUGUUUCCAAUUUUUGGCUUACAUAUAGUGCCACUAUUAAUGACAUUUUUGUAUAUGUCUUUUGAUGAACAUAUGUAUGUAUUUAUUUUGGAUAGGUACAUACGAGUGGAAUUCCUGGGCCACCAAGUGCAUAUGCACAUGCUUGACGUUGGGAGAUAUUGCCAAACACUUUUCAGAAAUUGUUGUACCAAUUUUUGCUCCCAUCAGUGGUGUGUGAGUGCUCUGAUUGCUCCAUAACCUUACUGAGGGGCACCGGAUUAUCCGCCUGCCCCCAUUUGCCUCUUUGGCAUAGAGAUUAUUUUGAGCUAAAGGCCAUUAAGAACCAGCAGAUGCCGGAAAAGCUCUUAAAACAGGGCACGAGUUUUUCUGUUGUAAAGCAAAUUUACAUUUAUAAAGAAAAUUCCAUUUGUAGAAUGUCUUCCUCUCCCAUACCGGGAAGAGGAGGAUUCUUAACAACUCUUAUCAAUGGAGAAGGAGCCAACUUAAAUCCACUUAACAUACUUUAUUGAACAACCCUUGUUUACCAUACUUUUCCCAGUCAUCUUCCUGUAACUUGUCUCCCCUACCAAGAAGCCCCAAGCCUCUUUUCCUUUGUUUUGGCCUAAGAUGGUGUGUAAACCCAAGUUCUAACCACCCUUGGGACUCAUCACUGGGUACUCCCAUGUGUAAACCCCAUGCACAUGCGAAUAAACCUCUGUUUUUCUGUUGUUCAUCUGACUUUAGCCAGUCUAAUUUACAGUACCCCACUGGAGAACCUGAGAUGGUUAGAGGAAGAGAUUUUGUUUUGUUUUGUUUUCUACACUACUCACAUUGGCAUUGCCAGUCUUCUAAGUUUUAGCCAUUCUGUUGGAUGUGUAGGGGAGAAGCAGUAAUAUCUUUUCCUCACCUAUUGCAAGGUUCAUGGCUGAGACCUCUGUAAUAGAAACAGAUUAACAUGAGAAAAGCAUAACAAGUUUAUUUAAGUUUUACAUAACACUGAAGCAUCCAGAAAUGAAGCCCUGAAGAAGUAAAGAAAGCUGUGUAUUUUUAUGGACAGUCAUGCAGAAGUAUGAUUGGAGAAAAAAGGGUAUGAUCUACUGGCAACAAACGGGGGAACAUAGGCCUGUUUGUUCAGAUUCUUCUCUGUGUCUUCAUUUCUUAUAAGGAGGACUGAUGGAAUGAGGCUCUUGUAACUUACUUUAGAGGAAGGUUGAAUGAUUCUUUUAUGGCCUCCUUUAGGGGAGAAUGGCUGGAGAAGGUCAGAGAGAACUUCCCGCUUCUGCUGAUUUCUCAAAUGCCAACAUGCCAUAAUUUGGGGAUAGCAUGACCUGAUCCAUCUCAUUGUGGUUUUAAUUUUCACUUUUUUGAUAACUAAUGAUGCUGGUCACCUUUACCUAUGUUUAUUGGCGAUUCGUAUAUUUCCUUUUGUGAAGUGCCCAUUCACGUCUGUUAUCUAUUUUACUGUAAAGUUGCCUUUUCCUUAUUGGUUUAUGAGAGUUUUUAAAUUUAUUCUUGUGGGAAGUCCUUUGUCGGGUUUGCUAUCUGUAUCAUAGAUAACUCUUAUCCUUCCUGUGGCUUGGAUUUUACUUUCUUAAUAGUGUCUUUUGAUAACAAAAUUCUUAAUUUUAAUAUAUUCCAAUUUAUAUAUAUUUUUCCUGAAGGAAAAAUUAUUUAAUGCUUUUGUGAUCUAUUAAGAAAUUUUAUCCUCCUCCAAGUUGUGGAGCUAUUCUUCUGUGUUUUCUUCCAUAAGAGCUAUUGUUUUGUGUCUUAUAUUUAGAUCUACAAACCCUUUGGAAAUGAAUUUAUGUACAUGGUUUGGGAUGGGGGUCAAUAUUCGCCUUUAUUUCUACAUAGAUUUGCAAUUGCUCCAGCAUCUUUUAUUGAAAUUACCGCACUUUCUCCAUUGAAAUUUACUUUUGAAGCAAGUUCAAGGUCAAAAUCUUUAGUAGGGAGAUGACUCUCUUAUGCAUAGGUUUUCAGAUUGUUAUGCAUAGGCAUCACCAUGGAAUGUGUUUAAAAUAUAGAUACCUAGGCCACCCCCAGGGAUGCUGAUUCACUGCUGAUGAUUCUCAUGCCUUGAGGCCUGGCCCGUACUCCGAGGAUUGGUGCUUCACUCAGGACCACCCUCAGUCAAGCAGACUCUGCAUCUCUCUGCCUCAUUCAUCUAUGUACAGACACUGUGUCUCCUGUAGAUUAUUGUGGCAGCUACAAUCAGUUAACAAGUUAAUUUUGGGGAACUCUAUUUAUCCUACCAACUCAAAUAUUUUGCUCAAUUAAUAUUCUCUCAUUCCAUUAGUCAUUCAUCAGUACCUAUCAGUUAGUCAUUGACUUGAAUUUCAUGUGGGCAUUCCACCACUUCACUUGCCACCCCAUUCUGUUACUUAACAAAGUCUACUGCAAAGCACAUCCAUUGAGACAGCUUGAUUGUCUCCUUGUAUAGCUUGCCCCAUUGUCAUUUUGUCCUUCUCUUAGUAUCUGCGACAUUCAAUUAGCCUUUAUUGAACACCUACUCUUUGCCAAGCAUAUAAUCAACUUUUUAUCCUCAAGGCUAUUAGAGUCCCUUGUAGAAGUGUGGGCACUGACCAACUUCCUGACACAUGAGUACAGUGAACCGUGAUGUAUGCCAUAAAUGGGAGGGGUGUGUGCUUGCUCAGAGGAGGAAGCAAUUACCCCUCCUUGUAGAAGGUCAGAGAAGCCUAAGCAGUGGCGGUUGAGCUGGGUCUUAAAGAGUGUAUAGGAGUUCAGUGAAGGAUAAGUGGAUGAGGAUGAGGGUAUUUCAGGUAGAGGAAAAAGACAUAAAACAGCUCAGCAUGGUCGAGGAACUGCAGGUGAUUCUGCAUGUGUGCAUCCCCUCAGUAACUCAACAGCCCAUGUAAAUUGGGAGGCAGGAGCACUGUCCCACUGAGUUUCAAACAAAAGCCAUUCCAAACUGCCAGAUAAAAUUCCAGUUUAAAUUAGUGAAAUUUGUUGUGAGACAGCCUGUGCACUGCAGAUGCCUGUGGUCCUAGAAGAUAAAGUCUAUUUCCUUUUGAAGGACAUACAUGUAGAUCAACAUGGAAGGAGUAGCCCUUGACCAUCAGUGUAUGACUCCAUUGCAUAGUGCUUGCUGCAGAAUUGCCUUGCCUGUCAGAUGACACAGCCAGUGCUGAGGUGAGCUGGUAUCUACCCCGACCCUCCUUUGCCAGAAGUAAAGAUGAUGAGGGGGAGCCCCCUUACUGACCCUUGCUGGGGAUGGAUGGAUGGGUGAAGGCUUCUGACAACAGCCACCUUUCCCAAUGAGGUCAUGAGGACCUCAGUGCUGUAUGAUGGGGAAGGAUAUGGCUAUUUUUGUACCAUGGAUAAUAAAAGGGGAAAACCCUGCUAAUUUGACGUAAAAAAGAUUCAAAGUCAUAAAUAUCCCAAACUGAAAGCAAACCCCAGAAAGGCUAGUUUUGAAAUUGGAGGUAAUUAAUUCCUCAUGCGAUGUGCUGAAAUUCAACCCAGACAUCCCUUUUUUUUUUUAAUUUCUUUCAGACAGUUUACAGUCCAGUGGAAAGUAAAACCAUGCAAUCCCUUGGUGUGGUACAGUUUUACUAUGUGUCUCUUUUUAUUAUUUUGCUCAUUUUGAUCACUUUUUACGUGAACAUGCAUAUAAUGAAUUCAGCUCCUCUUGUACAUGAGAUUUAUUUUACCCCAAGGAUCUCUCCUCUCUCCAUCGGUAGUCAAAUUGUUAGUGCAUUUCUCCAUAAAAGAAAAGAUCUGCAGACUAGAGCAUCGAAGGUGAAUGAUGACAUUAAUUUGAAAUUUGGAUUUAUUUUUAACUCAGAAAAAAUGCUGCUGUUUUGCAAAUGAAACUGGAGUUUAAAGUCAAAUAAUAAGGUUUAAACUCCAUAUUGAGGGAAUCAUAAACCUCCAUAUUGCCCUGACCUUUGAGGGUCUUGUUCUUAAACUCUCUUCUAUAGUGAAGUCGAAAAUCUUAUUAAUUCCCAAAUGUGGUGCUCAUAUUCUCAACUCCAUACCUUUGCUUUAUUCAUCCUCCAAGGCUGGCAUAUCCUUACAGCCAUUCUUUUUUUUUUUUUUUUUUUUUUUUUGGUCAGUUGGAUUGUCCACUGCAAUUAAGCUGUGCAAGAGCAAAAUAAAAUUUGUUUGUUUGUUUGUUUGUUUCUCUAUAACUAUCUCAUGCUCUGCAGGAACCUCUACCCUUCUAGGUAAUAGGAAAGAAAAAGAUAACUAAGUACAUAAUCCACCUUCAAUCUUAGCCCCAGUAGUAAUUUUUCUAGAGUCUCUGUAGGUAAACCUGUCUUUAAUGGUGAUUGUUGAGCCUCUCUAAUUUCCAUUUCCUGUCCCCUGCUUGUCUUUAGAUAGUGGCUGGCUGUGUGGAGUGGGCACAGCGCUUGCUCUCAUGAGCCGGUCCCUGGAUCUACAUCAAGAUGGUGCCUGGAUCUGUGGAUGGACUCUGGUCCUACCUUGGCCCCUGCUGCACUGAAGCUCCUGGCAUUUCCAGGGAGCCUUGCCCCUGUGUGUUAUUGGCCUGUUUUUCUGAUGUCUGCAGCCUGACAAACAUGUCACCUGGUCUUUCUCAGCUGGGUGGCUCCUCUUUGUUGAUUCAAUGCCUCCUGGUCUUGCACCCACUCCCCGACUCAGAUACUCUGCUUGGGCUCUUCCAGGAGAUCAGUGUGCUCUGCCAGGUCCCAGGGCAGACCUGCUGGCUCUCAGCUUGGCACUGAGGAAUGCUCUGGAGUAAACACUAGCCCUCCCCACCUGCUACAUGCUCAGCCCUCUCCCCUCUGCCGUGUUGCCUCAUGUCUCAGUCAUUUCUGAUUCCUCGUUACCUAGCAGAAUGUCUGGCACUUUUGCUCAGUAAGAUGCUUUUGAAAUUGAACUGGAUUGUGAAUUCCUUUCAGUGAGUGGUCCAUGCUUUAUUUGGCAAAUAGAUGCCAAUGACUACUAUUUUCUCGAAAUUUUAUAAAGUUAAUUAUUGAUACACCCAAAGCAGAGGGAUCUUCUGAUCCCCAAAGCCUGGCUUUCAGUGUUGUUUUAACCCUUCUAAAAUCUCAAGUUUCUCUAAUAAAAACCACGAUAGUCUGAAA